rnacentral:lncRNA from 1 species
GGAGGGGCUCUAUUCUAGGACACACACACAACUACUGAUUCACUCUCUCCCUCUUAGUUUCCAAGUUAAUGGGGUUAGGUUAGAGUAGGUCUACUUCAAGUUCCAAGUCUCCUUGAAGUCUAGUGUAUGGCUCUUAUAUCUUUAUUCCAAGGUUGACUUUAUUCUAUUCAAAAUAUACAUCUUCUUUAUAUAGUGUUGUGUUUGGUUCUCAUAUGC